rnacentral:lncRNA from 1 species
UUUUUUUUUUUUUUUUUGGUUUGGUUUGGUUUGGUUUUUUGGGGUUUUGGGGGUUUUUGUUUUUGGUUUUUUGUUUUUUUGUUUUUUUUGGUAAAAAUUUAAUUAUUAUUAUACAUAAGUACACUGUAGCUGACUUCAGACACACCAGAAGAGGGCAUCAGAUCUCAUUACAGAUGGUUGUGAGCCACCUUGUGGUUGCUGGGAUUUGAACUCAGGACCUUCGGUAGAGCAGUCAGUGCUCUUCCCCGCUGAGCCAUCUCUCCAGCCCAUGUUUUUUGUUUUUUUGAUUUUCGAGACAGGGUUUCUCUGUGUAGCCAUGACUCCUGGUCUAUAGAGCAAGUUCCAGGAUAGUUUGGGCUAUACAGAGAAAAAAACCUGUCUCCAAAAAAAAAAAAAAAAAAAAAAAGUCAUAUAAGUUUUUGAGGAACUGCCGUUAACAUGGAUUUUCAAGGGAAAAUGAAAAGAUUUUGAGUCUGUGUCCUAGAUAAUCCAUCCGUUACUCCCAUCAAGGGUUAAUUUGUGUUUGGGGGUGGGAGUUGUUGAAACAGAUUGUAACCCAGAUUGGCCUUGAACCCUUUAUCCCCCUGCCUCAGCCUUCCAAAUGCUAGGUUCACAGCCUCCCUGACUGGGAUCUGUCCGUGCCAGCCCAGGUAACCCUCACAGCCCCUGGAAAGGGUUGGGUGGCUGUCGUCAACCUUGUCUAUAUAGGGGAGGCUGAGAUCUCGGACAGAAAAUACUGGUCCGGUGAUUCACCAGGCGGAAAUCUGACUCCAAACUGAUUCCCUCUGCAUCCUCAGAUGUGGAUUGUAAGAAAGCCCAGCACAGAAACUCUGACCAACCGCGUAAAGGCGGGUUGCUGGUCUGGGUACAGUAGCAGAACACCCGAAGCGUCUUGAAGCUCCUACCCGCCCUGUGAGUAGCUAGCUGUCUGUAGCCCGCCUGCCUCAGGUUCUAGACAGCUGCUGGCUGUGUGCCCAUAUCAUUUAUAUAGUUUUUAGAUUCUGUAUUUUGUUAUUCCUCUGCCUCAGGAAGUAAGCCGUGGUUGCUUGGGCAUAUACCCCAUCUUCAAGAUUAAAAAUCAAAUUUAAAUAAAGUCAGGGUGAUCUGUCAUCUGGGCCAUGUGUGAACAACCUAAGCCAGGGUGGCAUCUGGGGGAAGCAUUUCCGUUGUGUGUCCUAGAAUCUCUAGAUAAACUCCCGUGACCCACAGAGUUCCAAGCCCCCAUCACCUCUUCCAACCUCUACCUUCCUUUUGCC